rnacentral:rRNA from 1 species
UACGUAGGGGGCUAGCGUUGUCCGGAAUCAUUGGGCGUAAAGAGCGUGUAGGCGGUCCGGUAAGUCCGCUGUGAAAGGCGGGGGCUCAACCCUCGAAUGCCGGUGGAUACUGUCGGGCUAGAGUGCGGAAGAGGCGAGUGGAAUUCCUGGUGUAGCGGUGAAAUGCGCAGAUAUCAGGAGGAACACCUAUUGCGAAGGCAGCUCGCUGGGACGUAACUGACGCUGAGACGCGAAAGCGUGGGGAGCAAACAGG